rnacentral:rRNA from 1 species
UGCAUCGAUGAAGAACGCAGCGAAAUGCGAUACGUAGUGUGAAUUGCAGAAUUCCGCGAAUCAUCGAGUCUUUGAACGCAAGUUGCGCCCGAGGCUUGUCCGAGGGCAUUUCCGCUAGAGCGUCACCGCGCCCCCCACCGAUCCGCUCCCGCCGCGAGGCGCCAGUCGGUUCGAGUGGAAGUGGCCGUCCCGGUCGCGAUCUCCGCGAGUGAGGGUCGGCUGAAAUGGAUGGAAUCGGGCCGCCGUGGUGACACAGUCCGCGAUCGGGUGAUUUUCCGCGAGCCUCCCCCGGGAGGGUCGCCGUGAAUUUUUCUAAGUGCGUGGCUGCGUCCCCCAGUUGGUUUCGGUUCCCUCGUGCAGGUCGUGCGCGCCCCCGCGGCGCGCGUCACGCAUCAGACCUCUAAUCGGA